rnacentral:rRNA from 1 species
UACGUAGGUGGCGAGCGUUGUCCGGAUUUACUGGGCGUAAAGAGCGCGCAGGCGGUCGUUCAAGUCGCGUGUGAAAGCCCCCGGCUCAACUGGGGAGGGUCACGCGAUACUGAUCGACUCGAAGGCAGGAGAGGGUAGUGGAAUUCCCGGUGUAGUGGUGAAAUGCGUAGAUAUCUGGAGGAAUACCGGUGGCGAAGGCGGCAUCCUCGGACCGACAUUGACGCUGAUGAGCGAAAGGCUAGGGGAGCAAACGGGG